rnacentral:rRNA from 1 species
GGUGACAUGGCCACCAUAUUGAGAGAGAUCGCUACUGCCAACGGCGAUAUGCAGUGCAAUCGGCAGGAUGAUGUGGAGGACUU